rnacentral:rRNA from 1 species
UACGAAGGGGGCUAGCGUUGCUCGGAAUCACUGGGCGUAAAGGGUGCGUAGGCGGGUCUUUUAAGUCAGGGGUGAAAUCCUGGAGCUCAACUCCAGAACUGCCUUUGAUACUGAAGAUCUUGAGUUCGGGAGAGGUGAGUGGAACUGCGAGUGUAGAGGUGAAAUUCGUAGAUAUUCGCAAGAACACCAGUGGCGAAGGCGGCUUACUGGUCCGGUUCUGACGCUGAGGCGCGAAAGCGUGGGGAGCAAACAGG